CCUACGGGUGGCAGCAGUGAGGAAUAUUGGUCAAUGGGCGCGAGCCUGAACCAGCCAAGUAGCGUGAAGGAUGACUGCCCUACGGGUUGUAAACUUCUUUUAUAAAGGAAUUAAUUGAGGCACGUGUGCCUUUUUGUAUGUACUUUAUGAUUAAGGAUCGGCUAAAUCCGUGCCAGCAGCCACGGUAAUACGGAGGAUCCGGGCGUUAUCCGGAUUUAUUGGGUUUAAAGGGAGCGUAGAGGGGUUGUUAAGUCAGAUGUGAAAGUUUGCGGCUUAACCGUAAAAUUGCAUUUGAUACUGGCAGUCUUGAGUACAGGUGAGGUAGGUGGAAUUCGUGGUGUAGCGGUGAAAGGCUUAGAUAUCACGAAGAAUUCCGAUUGCGAAGGCAGCUUACUAAACUGCCACUGACAUUGAUGCUCGAAAGUGUGGGUAUCAAACAGGAUUAGAUACCCUGGUAGUC
rnacentral:rRNA from 1 species